CCUACGGGAGGCAGCAGUAAGGAAUAUUGGACAAUGGACGCAAGUCUGAUCCAGCCAUGCCGCGUGAAGGAUUAAGGUCCUCUGGAUUGUAAACUUCUUUUAUAAGGGACGAAAAAAGGUCUUUCUAGAUCGUCUGACGGUACCUUAUGAAUAAGCACCGGCUAACUCCGUGCCAGCAGCCGCGGUAAUACGGAGGGUGCAAGCGUUAUCCGGAUUCACUGGGUUUAAAGGGUGCGUAGGCGGGCAGGUAAGUCAGUGGUGAAAUCCUAGAGCUUAACUCUAGAACUGCCAUUGAUACUAUCUGUCUUGAAUAUUGUGGAGGUAAGCGGAAUAUGUCAUGUAGCGGUGAAAUGCUUAGAUAUGACAUAGAACACCUAUUGCGAAGGCAGCUUACUACGCAUAUAUUGACGCUGAGGCACGAAAGCGUGGGGAUCAAACAGGAUUAGAUACCCUGGUAGUCCACGCCCUAAACGAUGGAUACUCGACAUACGCGAUACACUGUGUGUGUCUGAGCGAAAGCAUUAAGUAUCCCACCUGGGAAGUACGACCGCAAGGUUGAAACUCAAAUGAAUUGACGG
rnacentral:rRNA from 1 species